rnacentral:rRNA from 1 species
UACGGAGGUGGCUAGCGUUGUUCGGAAUUACUGGGCGUAAAGCGCGCGUAGGCGGACCUGCAAGUCGGGGGUGAAAGCCCGAGGCUCAACCUCGGAACUGCCUUCGAUACUGCGGGUCUCGAGUCCGGGAGAGGUGAGUAGAACUGCGAGUGUAGAGGUGAAAUUCGUAGAUAUUCGCAAGAACACCAGUGGCGAAGGCGGCUCACUGGCCCGGUACUGACGCUGAGGUGCGAAAGCGUGGGGAGCAAACAGG